rnacentral:rRNA from 1 species
CGCGUAGGUGGUUUGUUAAGUUGGAUGUGAAAGCCCCGGGCUCAACCUGGGAACUGCAUCCAAAACUGGCAAGCUAGAGUACGGUAGAGGGUGGUGGAAUUUCCUGUGUAGCGGUGAAAUUCGUAGAUAUUCGCAAGAACACCAGUGGCGAAGGCGGCUCACUGGGCCAUUACUGACGCUGAGGCACGAAAGCGUGGGGAGCAAACA